rfam:Schistosoma haematobium scaffold474_41, whole genome shotgun sequence.
AUCCAACUGAUAAGUUCUAAAUAGGAUGAAAUGUGCGUCUUGGAU